AUCUAAAUAGCUCAUAAUUAGAGCAUGGCAUUGAAGAUGCUAAGGAAAUAAUUAUUAUUUUUAGAUA
rnacentral:tRNA from 1 species